GACGAACGCUGGCGGCGUGCUUAACACAUGCAAGUCGAACGGACAGGCGCUGCUCUUGCGGGGCGCUCGAUUGGCGAACGGGUGAGUAAAACGCGAGUAACCUGCCCCUGUCUUUGUGGUAAAUCCAGGAAACUCGGGCUCUUACCGGAUAGGAUCUCUUGCUGCAUAGUGUGCGUUGGAAAGAUUCGGCGGUUGGGGAUGGUCUCGCAGUUUAUGAGCUUCUUUGUGGGGUAGUGGAGGACGAAGCCUAUGACGGGUAGGCGGCCUGGGAGGGUGACCGGCGACAUGGGGCCUAAGGUAGGGCCCAGACUCCUACGGGCGGCAGCGGUGGAGAGUAUUGCAGAAUGGGGGGAAGCCAGAUACAGCAACGCCGCGUGCGGGAUGACGGCCUUCGAGUUGUAAACCGCUUUCGACUGUGACAUAGAGUGAGUGACGGUAAUGGGUAAGGAAGCACCGGCUAACUACGUG
rnacentral:rRNA from 1 species